CCAGCCCCAGCCCUUCCCUGGGGUCCUGUCCCUGCUCACAGAGAGCAGAGAUUGUCCCCAGGCUGCCUCCAGGAUGGGGUCACCCUUCUCCUGCCAGAGCUGAGUCCCUGCCAUCCCCCAGUGCCACGGAGGGGUGUGAGGGACCUCAGGCUGGCCUGUCUGGGUGACUCUCCUGCCAGAUAUCCCACAGGAGAGGGGUCACUCAUGGAAGAGGGGAGCAGCAGGGACACAGGUUCCUGUUUGCCAUGGGAUGGACACCCCCCACCCUCACGGGGGUGGCUCUGCCUCCUGCAGGUGCCAGAACUCGCCAUCUCCUGCCGGGGUUAUCGAUUCCUUUCUUUUCUUGUUUAAAUAUUUAUUGACCACAUUAGGAGAAAGCAAAGGUCGUGCCACAGCUGGAGGAGUUGUUGUCAGAGCCCUUGGUGCCCUCAGGGGUAUUGAUUGUCCCCACCAGCCACCCUGGCACUGCCCGGCCCCAGCCAGGACCCCCAGUGGGAGCAGCAGCACCUCCAGCCCUGCCCAUGGGAUGGCCUGGGCUCCCUCGGUGGGACCCAGGAAUCCCUGGUGGGAUGCAGGGACCCCAGAAGGAUGCAGGGACUUCCAGCAGGAUGCAGGGACCCCAGUGGGAUGCAGGGACCACAAUGGGAUGCAGGGAUUCCAGCUGGGUGCAGGACCCCAGCGGGAUGCAGGGACCCUGGCAGGGCUGCCUCAGGGGCCUCUGUCCUGUGUGGAGGUGGAUUUUUGUGGCUGCUCGCAGUUGCCCUGCACUGCCCCAGCCCUGGCUGCCCUGCCUCUGCCCUCCCAGCCAUUCCUGCUGAACUGACAAGAGUUUCAGGAAAAUUCAGCCUUGACUCAAGGUCACCCGUGGCAGACUCCCUGUUCUCCCAGUUUGGUCCUGUGCCGGUUACCUGGAGCAGACACGGACAACCAGACCCUCUUCCCCACAAAAAGGUUGUGAAAAACCUUCAUUCCUUCAUUCCCCUGCCUCUGGUCCCAGUGGAGGUGGCUCUGGGCCCAGGAUUGCUCCUGUUCCCCCUUCCAGGGCUGCAGCCCCACAGCCAGCCCCGGGCGGGGGCAGUGGGAUCAUCCUUUCCAAAAGGAAGGGUUAGUGGAAAAUAUGCUAAUGGGGCUGCUCCAGCCUUCCCCUGGGAGUCUGCAGCUCCUCGUGCUUUAAUUGCCAAAUACUUUAUCUCUUUAAAGAAGAGCCUCUAUAAGUAAUAAUCCCUUUCAUCUCUGCUCCUCUUGAAAAAUACUCCUCUUUGCGAGGCAAUCUGGUCAAGUAAAUUGGGAAGUUGUGUUAUCAGUGGGAAAGAGAAACUGACAUCUUUGGGCUAAUUUUCCCUCCUUUGUCUAAUUCUCAAGGAUAUUGACGUUAUUCCCCUCCCUGACUUUUCCAGCUCACAGGAGCUAUUGAUAAAGUGAAAUGGCUCUGCGUGCCCUAUUAGAAACACGGGAACUAAAAUUAAAACCAGGCAACUUAAACAAGUGCAUUAUGAAGCUCCCAUUGUAUUGAAACAGGAAGAGGGGGAUAAUUCUCCAUUUAAUACUUUAUUAAUGGCUGGUUGGCAACUCUAAUCACUGGCUUUUAACUUCGAAUAUGUUCUCCUGCCCACGGAACAUCUGGUUGAGGUGUAACUCAUCAUACAUGAGUCGGGAGGCAGCAAAUCUCCCCCUAGGGAUUGACAGCAGGGCUGGGAGGGCACCGGGGCUUGGGAUGAGCUCGGACGGGCCAAGAGGGACACGGAGAGGCAGCACCUCCCUUACAGUCCUCGUCAUUUCCUAAUGGCAGUGCAGAAAAAGUAAAACCAAAUUGACCCCAAACACUUCCUGACAUGGAAAUCAUCCCUCUGAAGGUGGGAUCUCUGAUGGGUAGCAGGGAUUUGGAAUGUGUGCUCCAGCCCAGCUCUGUUAUUUCUCGUCUUGGCACUGUCAGGGAGCUCAGGGACCUGCAGAGCACUUGGUGGCUUUGGGGACAGGAGGGCUCUGGGUGCAGGGACAGGAACUGUGGGGUGCCAGAGGAGGCUUUCCUGGCAUGUGUGCCCCUCACCUGGAGCUGGUCUGGCCAGGGGUGCUCAGCCUGGCAGGGGCAGAGCCCUGGGGGUCCCCUCAUUCAGAGCCAUUCCUGCCUGGGGGAGAUCCUGACUCUGCUGCUGAGAUUGGAGGGCGAGCACAUUGUGCCCCAGCUGGGCCCAGCCACUUCCCCCAGCCCCACUUCUCCUCCUCAGACACCAAACCCAGCUCCUGCCAAAUCUUCCAUGGCCCAGAGCUCCCCUCAUCCCUCCCCAGCCCCCCAACCCCUCCAGAGCACUCACACCCUCUGCACUGUCCUCUCCCUUUGUCAGAGAUGUGCUACAUCCUCCCAAAAGGAAGGGACAGAAACUGAAAUUUCUUUUUAAACGAUGAAUUUUGCAGAACUAUGGGGCCACUUCAGAGCUGGGUCCCCCCUGCCCCAGCCAGCGUGGGGAUGCCCAGGCUCCUCUCAUGCUUCCCAGUGUUGUCUACUCCUUCCUUCCCUCUGGAAAUAAAAUAAAGUCUUCAAGCUGGGAGCUCACAGCCCUGUCAGAGGAGCGGUGGCUUGUGACGCACCAAGUUUCAGUAUUUUCUGGAGAGCUUCAUUUACUAGCAGAUUUUUCUGCUAUUUUGGUUCUUUGAUUGAGAUGGAUUAUUUUUCCUGAGCUGCUCCCAUUUGUGGUAAUGUGUCUCCAUCCCAUCCAGGAGGGAUUUUGCUGACACAAGGAGGACCCAUGCUGGCAGCUCGCCCCAUCCCAGGGAUUUCACGCAUCCUGCAGUCUACAUGAUUUCACCAGGAUUUUCUUUGGGGUGUUAUUAUUACUAAUGCUAUUAUAUCAAAGUUGUUUCCUGAGGACAGAAAAAUACCAGCUCAGCUAUUCAGCUAAGCAGUUCUUUAAUUUCUCAAAAUCAGCUCCCCAGUGCCUUUUUGGAAUAGAUCUGAAUUUUCUGCUUUAAUCCUUCUUCCUGAAGCAAAAGUGCUGAGGGGUGAAGUGACUCUCCCUGGGAAAGGAGGGUUGGGGUCUCUUUCCCAGUGCUGCAGCUCAGGGAUUGUGAGUCAGCUCCAAGAAAUAUCAGGUAGAGAUUUUUUGUCUCUUUGCCUCCAAAUCCCUCAUCCCCAGCUGGGAUGGAGCAGCAAAUUUGGGGUUCCCAGCCCUCCUGACUUUCCAUCUGACGUCUGGGGAAGGAUGAGUGGUGCAGGCAGGGCAGGGGAGACUGGAGUGACACCAGCAUGCAGAAUUUGGGGGGGCUGGGGCAAUCCCCCCAGCACAGCAGCCCUGGCUCUGCCCACGCUCCUGUGUCCUCCUGCUGCAGGUGGCCAAGGACCUGGAGGGAGAUAUAACCAUGGUAACUGGGAUUAUCCCAGAAAAUUGCUGCCAUUACUGCAGAGGUGGGGUCAAAACAAACAGAAAUUAUCAAUUUUUCUAUUUCUAAUAAAAUGCAGAAGUGUGUUAU